rnacentral:rRNA from 1 species
CAUAUCGACGGCGGUGUUUGGCACCUCGAUGUCGGCUCAUCACAUCCUGGGGCUGUAGUCGGUCCCAAGGGUAUGGCUGUUCGCCAUUUAAAGUGGUACGCGAGCUGGGUUCAGAACGUCGUGAGACAGUUCGGUCCCUAUCUGCCAUGGGCGUUGGAGAUUUGAGAGGGGCUGCUCCUAGUACGAGAGGACCGGAGUGGACGAACCUCUG